rnacentral:rRNA from 1 species
CCACGGGAUGCUGCAGUGAGGAAUAUUGCACAAUGGGGGGAACCCUGAUGCAGCAACGCCGCGUGGAGGAUGACGCAUUUCGGUGUGUAAACUCCUUUUAUAUGUCAAGAAAAUGACGGUAGCAUAUGAAUAAGCACCGGCUAACUCCGUGCCAGCAGCCGCGGUAAUACGGAGGGUGCAAGCGUUACUCGGAAUCACUGGGCGUAAAGGACGCGUAGGCGGGUUGGAAAGUCAGGUGUGAAAUCCUACAGCUUAACUGUAGAACUGCACUUGAAACUUCUAAUCUAGAGUAUGGGAGGGGGAGAUGGAAUUAGUGGUGUAGGGGUAACAUCCGUAGAUAUCACUAGGAAUACCUAAAGCGAAGGCGAUCUCCUGGAACAUUACUGACGCUAAGGCGUGAAAGCGUGGGGAGCAAACAGGAUUAGAUACCCGAGUAGUC